rnacentral:tRNA from 1 species
UCCCUGGUGGUCCAGUGGUUAAGACUUUGUGCUUCCACCACAGGAGGCAGAGGUUCAAUCCUUGCUUGGGGA